GGAGGUAGAGCACUGUUUGGACGAGGGGCCCCUCUCGGGUUACCGAAUUCAGACAAACUCCGAAUGCCAAUUAAUUUAACUUGGGAGUCAGAACAUGGGUGAUAAGGUCCGUGUUCGAAAGGGAAACAGCCCAGACCACCAGCUAAGGUCCCAAAAUAUAUGUUAAGUGGAAAAGGAUGUGGCGUUGCCCAGACAACUAGGAUGUUGGCUUAGAAGCAGCCAUCAUUUAAAGAGUGCGUAAUAGCUCACUAGUCGAGUGACACUGCGCCGAAAAUGUACCGGGGCUAAACAUAUUACCGAAGCUGUGGAUUGUCCUUUGGACAAUGGUAGGAGAGCGUUCUAAGGGCGUUGAAGCAUGAUCGUAAGGACAUGUGGAGCGCUUAGAAGUGAGAAUGCCGGUGUGAGUAGCGAAAGACGGGUGAGAAUCCCGUCCACCGAUUGACUAAGGUUUCCAGAGGAAGGCUCGUCCGCUCUGGGUUAGUCGGGUCCUAAGCUGAGGCCGACAGGCGUAGGCGAUGGAUAACAGGUUGAUAUUCCUGUACCACCUAUAAUCGUUUUAAUCGAUGGGGGGACGCAGUAGGAUAGGCGAAGCGUGCGAUUGGAUUGCACGUCUAAGCAGUAAGGCUGAGUAUUAGGCAAAUCCGGUACUCAUUAAGGCUGAGCUGUGAUGGGGAGAAGACAUUGUGUCUUCGAGUCGUUGAUUUCACACUGCCGAGAAAAGCCUCUAGAUAGAAAAUAGGUGCCCGUACCGCAAACCGACACAGGUAGUCAAGAUGAGAAUUCUAAGGUGAGCGAGCGAACUCUCGUUAAGGAACUCGGCAAAAUGACCCCGUAACUUCGGGAGAAGGGGUGCUCUUUAGGGUUAACGCCCAGAAGAGCCGCAGUGAAUAGGCCCAAGCGACUGUUUAUCAAAAACACAGGUCUCUGCUAAACCGUAAGGUGAUGUAUAGGGGCUGACGCCUGCCCGGUGCUGGAAGGUUAAGAGGAGUGGUUAGCUUCUGCGAAGCUACGAAUCGAAGCCCCAGUAAACGGCGGCCGUAACUAUAACGGUCCUAAGGUAGCGAAAUUCCUUGUCGGGUAAGUUCCGACCCGCACGAAAGGCGUAACGAUUUGGGCACUGUCUCAACGAGAGACUCGGUGAAAUCAUAGUACCUGUGAAGAUGCAGGUUACCCGCGACAGGACGGAAAGACCCCGUGGAGCUUUACUGUAGCCUGAUAUUGAAAUUCGGCACAGCUUGUACAGGAUAGGUAGGAGCCUUUGAAACGUGAGCGCUAGCUUACGUGGAGGCGCUGGUGGGAUACUACCCUAGCUGUGUUGGCUUUC
rnacentral:rRNA from 1 species